GGCUCAGGAUGAACGCUGGCGGCGUGCCUAACACAUGCAAGUCGAGCGAAGCACUUCAUUAGAACUCUUCGGAGGGACGAGGAAGUGACUGAGCGGCGGACGGGUGAGUAACGCGUGGGCAACCUGCCUUACACAGGGGGAUAACAGUUAGAAAUGACUGCUAAUACCGCAUAAGACCACAUUGCCGCAUGGCAGGGUGGUAAAAACUCCGGUGGUGUAAGAUGGGCCCGCGUCUGAUUAGGUAGUUGGCAGGGUAGAGGCCUACCAAGCCUACGAUCAGUAGCCGGCCUGAGAGGGUGGACGGCCACAUUGGGACUGAGACACGGCCCAAACUCCUACGGGAGGCAGCAGUGGGGAAUAUUGCACAAUGGGGGAAACCCUGAUGCAGCGACGCCGCGUGAGUGAGGAAGUAUUUCGGUAUGUAAAGCUCUAUCAGCAGGGAAGAAAAUGACGGUACCUGACUAAGAAGCCCCGGCUAACUACGUGCCAGCAGCCGCGGUAAUACGUAGGGGGCAAGC
rnacentral:rRNA from 1 species